GAUGAACGCUAGCGGCAGGCUUAACACAUGCAAGUCGAGGGGUAACAGGAGAAAGCUUGCUUUUUUGCUGACGACCGGCGCACGGGUGCGUAACGCGUAUAGAAUCUGCCUUACACUGAGGGAUAGCCUUUGGAAACGAAGAUUAAUACCUCAUAGUAUGAUGACUUGGCAUCAAGACAUCAUUAAAGGUUACGGUGUAAGAUGACUAUGCGUCCUAUUAGCUAGAUGGUGUGGUAACGGCACACCAUGGCGACGAUAGGUAGGGGUCCUGAGAGGGAGAUCCCCCACACUGGUACUGAGACACGGACCAGACUCCUACGGGAGGCAGCAGUGAGGAAUAUUGGACAAUGGAGGCAACUCUGAUCCAGCCAUGCCGCGUGAAGGAUGACUGCCCUAUGGGUUGUAAACUUCUUUUAUAUAGGAAGAAACACUUCUACGUGUAGAAGCUUGACGGUACUAUAUGAAUAAGCACCGGCUAACUCCG
rnacentral:rRNA from 1 species